rnacentral:rRNA from 1 species
GAACUGAAGAGUUUGAUCAUGGCUCAGAUUGAACGCUGGCGGCAGGCCUAACACAUGCAAGUCGAGCGGAUGAAGGGAGCUUGCUCCUGGAUUCAGCGGCGGACGGGUGAGUAAU